rnacentral:lncRNA from 1 species
GUUGUUCCCCGCGCGGAUCCUGGUCCUGAAGCGGUGCUCGCCGAUGAGGACCGUCACCACCGGCUUGAUGUCAUCGCCCUGCAGCUGGUGGCCCUCGAUCACCCUCACCCGCACCUACGGGACACGUGGGGACACGGUGGCCACUGUUUGGGACAGCGCCCUGGGUGCCACCGCACCCUUGGGUGCCCUACCUGGAAAUCCUCCUUCCUCCCCGCCGCGGGCUUAGCGUGGUGGCGCGGUGGCCCCGGUGGCACCCCGAUGGCUGUCCCCACCGCCGGGGAGAGGCAUGGGGGGGACAGGCAGGGUGCCACCCAUCCCUGCUGGUGUGGCACGGUGUCCCCUGCUGCCACCUGGCCGGGGGGGACGUAGGAGCAGCGGACAGUGACAGUGGCCCCCGUGGGACGUCCCCGAGGGUCCAGCAGUGGGAGGUGGCUGAGGGCGAGCGGCAGCCCGGGCUCCUCUGCCAGCCGGCCCAGUGGCACCGUGGUGGCACCCAGGUCCCUGCAGGGGACAGGGAUGGUGAGCACGGCCACCCUGGGGACAGCACCCUGCGGUGCCCACCCAUGGGUGCCACUCACCCCUGGGGUGCCGGCUGGCCCCAGUGCCGGAGGCGCAGGACCAGGCUGGCUGAGGGACGCAGGGGACGCACACCCAGCGGCCACACCAGUGUCUGCGGGGCAGGUGACAGCAGUCAGCAGGGUGGCACGAGUGUCCCUGUGCCACUGCUGGCUGUCCCCGUGCCACGUCACCUCAUUCCAGGUGGGGUUGCGCUCUGCUGGCACCACCCGGGUGCUCCUGGGGACACCUGCGGGGGGGACAGGAGGGAUGGUGGCAGCACCCUGGGUUGGGGACGUUGGGGUGACACUACCCCUGUCCCAUCACAUGAGGAUGGUCGAUGCCAUCCCACCCCGUGACAAUGACAGAUGCCAUCCCGUCCCACGAGGAUGGCCAACCCAUCUCCUGGGGACGGCCACCGCGGUGUCCCCCUGUCCCCCGGUACCUCUGAAGCGGGCGGACACGUGCACGCCAGGCCCGGCGCCCGUGGCUGCGGGGAUGUGGGCGCUGGCCACCAGCAGCCGCAGCAUGGCCGUGUCCCCGUGCUGUCCCCGUGUCGUCCCCAUGCUGUGUCCCUGUGCUGUCCCCGUGUCACCGAGUGGCUGUCACCAUGGCGCUGCCACCGGGCUGUGUUCCAUAACGGCACCAGAUGCAUCGCGGUGGGGACAGGCAGGGACACUGCUGCUGUCGGUGAGUGUCCCCUGUCACCAGGUACCUCUGUCACCAUGCACCCGUGUCACCCUGUGCCCUGUCCAUGCGUGGCCGUGUCACUGUGCUGUGUCCCUUUCUGCGUGUCCCCGUGUCCCUGCGUCACGGUGUAACCCGUCUGUGUGUACCUGUGCCACCGCGCACCUGUGCCACCAUGUCCCUCUGUCCCCAUGUCGGUGUCCCCACAUCGCUGUGUGCCCAUGUCCAUACGUCCCUGUGUCCCCAUGUCUUAGUGUCCCAUGUCACCGAGUCCAUGUGCCCCGUGUCACUGCAUCCCCAUGUCCGUGUCCCCAUGGCCCUAUGUGCGUGUGCCCCCUGUCACUCCGUGCCUCUGUGUGUCCUCAUGCUCACGUGUCCCCAUGUCUGUGUGUCCCUGUGUCCCUACGUCCAUGUGCCCCAUGUCCCCAUAUCCUUGUCUGCACAUCCACAUGCCCCAAGCCACCGUGUCCCCACAUCCCCUUGUCACUGUGUCCCCCCAUCCAUGUGCCCCACACCAGUGCACCCCCAUGUCCUGUCCUCGUGUCCCCACCUCCCCAUACCCCUAUCCCCACAUCCACGUGUCCCCAUGUCCUUGUGUCCCCAUGUCCCCAUGUCCCUGUAUCCCCAUGUCCUUGUGUCCCCAUGUCCUUGUGUCCCCAUGUCCCCAUGUCCUCGUGUCCCCAUGUCCUUGUGUCCCCAUGUCCUUGUGUCCCCAUGUCCCCAUGUCCCUGUGUCCCUGUGUCCCCAUGUCAAUGUGUCCCCAUGUCCCUGUGUCCCUGUGUCCCCAUGUCCCCAUGUCCCUGUGUCCCCAUGUCCCUGUGUCCCUGUAUCCCCAUGUCCCCCUGACCCCAUGUCCCCAUGUCCCCAUGUCCCCGUGUCCCCAUGUCCCUGUGUCCCUGUAUCCCCAUGUCCCCCUGACCCCAUGUCCCCAUGUCCCCGUGUCCCCAUGUCCCACGCCACCUCACCCCAUGUCCCCACCCCGUUGUGUCCCCACAUCCAUGCCCCCACAUCCCAUAUCCUUGUGCUCCCACAUCCCUGUACCCCAAGCCACCUCCCCCUGGUGUCCCCACC